CACAGAAGCAGGGCACUGGUCAGCACCUGGCACAUCCCCUGGGGAUUUUGCACCAUGCUCACACACAUGGAUGUGAGCAGAGUAUCACACCUUGGCAGGCAAAAUGAAUGUGGCCUCCUCUCCUGGAAGCACCCGAGGGAGGGGAAAAAACCUGCUGAAACAGCAGCUCUGCUUUGGUGGGAAGUAACUCAGGAUUCCUGCCAGACUGAUCCUCCUGGGUGUUUGUGGCUGAACUCUGAACACAUCUGCAAGCUCCCCACCAAUGCGCUGGGACAUGUUCUUCAGCACCCCGAUGCUGCCAGAGACCAGCUCCAACUGCUCAUCCUGCUGCUCCACAAUCAACUGGGGUCAAAGAGAAGAGAAGAGGGCAAUUACAGAUCUGCUGCCUGCAGCUGGCUUGGAGCCAGCCCAUCCAGUGGACAGGCACUUGCUGCUCGGCCAACAUCAGCUGUGAGGCCUGGGCUCAGACCUAAGCCACCAGGAAUGAGGACUGCAUUACUAAGAAAUGCUGGAGAGGAGGCAAGCAGGGGAAAGUCUCCAUGGCAUGGCAUCCCCACGGCACAGCCUCCAGACAUCCCUGCAAUUCCAGCCUCAGCUCAUUCAUGCUGCAUGCACAGCUAAAGUGACUUUGGAAAGCUCCAAAGGCUGGUCAUCAAAACCUUCGCAAGAUUACAAGUGCAGACAACACUCCAGACUCCUGGAGCUCCUUCCAUCUUCUUACAUGGCUAUUACGAGAAGCAGCUGCAUGAAAGGAUAUUGCACCAUCUUGGCUCCUAAAUCCAGCAGAGUGCAGGAUUACAUUCAUUGACAUGGAUUCUGAGCUGCUUCCCCCCGAGAAGGAGGAGGGAGAUUUCCCUUUCCAUGGGAUGGUGCGAUGCUGACAGUUGUAAACAACCAGUUCUGAAGACAGAGACAGAUGGUGAAUGCUGACUUACUGCUCUCAGAGCAGCUUGGGAGAGGCUGGCAGCCUGUGAGAACCAGCUCUCCCACGGCAGCCAAAUGGACAUGGCUCAAACACAGCUUGGCUGAAGCGUGGGAGCCCCUUCCCACACCAAAGCCAGUGCUUGCAUGGAAGAGUUUGACAUCUGAUCCUUCAUGUCCUGUUCAUUCAACAAAAGAAGGAGCAUGUGAGCAUUGGAUUUGAGGUGACAGGCAAAUUCAGGGUGCUACAGGGCUGUUUAUACCCAGCAGGGCUUCUACAAGGGGGAAAGAGGGAAGGGAGAUUUUCUUUGAAAACCCACACUUUUGAAGAGUCUGGAAACAUACUGUAGAAAGUUUCAUUAUUAUACUAAUACUGGAAUCAACAGCAUUGGGAUAUUUUGAAAAUAUUCCUCAUUUACAACUCAUUUUUCUUCACUUCAACCAGAACCACGUUGAUUUGUAUGAUAAACUAAUGUUCCUGUUGAUAGAAUGUAAGGAAGUUUUUUUUCAAGGCCUUGAAGCUUAUAAUCUCCUGUGCUUUAUUCCCACCUGCAACUGGUUUUAUAUUCCAUAGUACAAGGUAGAUUUCCUGUCCUGUGGCCAUCCUCUCUGACUGUGUGAAUGUUCUCUCCUACCAAUUAAUUUUUGCUGAAAUUCCUUCAGAAGGCCACUAACCACAGAAGGCUCCCCAGCACAAUGUAACAUAACCUAGUUUUCAUAAUUUAGCAAGUAGUCAACGUCAUCUGGCAGAGGCUGAUCCACCAGCAGAGUUCUGAUGCCACCAGAGGAUUCAGGUGUGUUUUACUGUUCAGAGAUGUGCAACGCAUCACCAAAGAGCUCCACCACAUCCCACUUGGUUAAUUCUCACUGUCUGCAGUGCAUCACAAAUUUCCCCCAUGGAAACUGGAAGCCAGCUGCACAGGGCCACUUAGCAAUUUCAUUUCCCAGUAGGAGACACUGCUCCAAAAGCCAUUACCCAGCAUUUUUCAGCCAGGAGAAAAGGAUCAGAGAGCAGGCUUGCUUGAUCCUGCCCAUUAGGGAGUGGACCACACUGAGGGCAAGGCAGUAAGCAUAUGCCUGCUACCUGGGGCCAGUGUGGUUUUGGGAUCAGUUCCUAGGCAGCAAACCUUAGGAACUGCACCCAGACCACAGGACUGCAGGUAGGGUAACAGGCUUGCUGCCAGCCACACCAGUGCAUUUUGUGGAGCAGGAACAUCAGAGCCGUGAGGGGCAGCAGAAACUCAGUGUAGCUAUUAAUAGACAGAAAACUUCAUAACUAGCAGCUUGUUACCAGGCAGUGAAGCUUUUGGAAAGAUGUUUCUUCUCUAUUUGUUACCACCAAGUUGUUUAAAUCCCCUUUUUGCUUCCCAAGUGUAAGCUUAAACUAAAAAAAAAUCUUCCUCAAGUUAAAAAUAAAUCUAGUGGUUGUUUGGACUAGUUUGCAGGGGUAGGAAGUCGAAGUCACCAUGUCAAUAACACCAGGCUUUAACCAUCUGUCAGUGUUCAAAGUGGUCUCCCUGUUGCUGAAAAGCAGUGCUACAAAUGGUCAGGACUGUUGAGAUUUCCCUCAACUCUGAAGGGAGGCUCCACAUUGCAGCUGGGUCUUCACUCUUCCUCCUGUUACCACAGGCUCCCAGCUCACUGUUGCCAGAGCAGUGUGAAGACUUCAAGGGUCAGCAGCAUAAAAAGAGGGAAUUCCAUGGGGCACCUGCACCCCCAAACCCUUCUGGGCAGCUCCAGGAGGGAACGCACAGGGAAGAUGAGGAAGCCUGAGACUCAGCAGGUAGCAGGUUUAUUCUCUGCUCUCCAUUCCACCAGAGAACAGCCCCAAGAUUUCCUUUUUUACCCACCAAUUCCCCCCACACCCUCCCCAGGCCCUGAGCCCAAGGGCAGGUU